rnacentral:rRNA from 2 species
CUGGUAUUGAUUGGUGCUUGCAUCAUGAUUUACAUUUGAGUGAGUGGCGAACUGGUGAGUAACACGUGGGAAACCUGCCCAGAAGCGGGGGAUAACACCUGGAAACAGAUGCUAAUACCGCAUAACAACUUGGACCGCAUGGUCCGAGCUUGAAAGAUGGCUUCGGCUAUCACUUUUGGAUGGUCCCGCGGCGUAUUAGCUAGAUGGUGGGGUAACGGCUCACCAUGGCAAUGAUACGUAGCCGACCUGAGAGGGUAAUCGGCCACAUUGGGACUGAGACACGGCCCAAACUCCUACGGGAGGCAGCAGUAGGGAAUCUUCCACAAUGGACGAAAGUCUGAUGGAGCAACGCCGCGUGAGUGAAGAAGGGUUUCGGCUCGUAAAACUCUGUUGUUAAAGAAGAACAUAUCUGAGAGUAACUGUUCAGGUAUUGACGGUAUUUAACCAGAAAGCCACGGCUAACUACGUGCCAGCAGCCGCGGUAAUACGUAGGUGGCAAGCGUUGUCCGGAUUUAUUGGGCGUAAAGCGAGCGCAGGCGGUUUUUUAAGUCUGAUGUG